UAAUACGUAGGGAGCAAGCGUUGUUCGGAUUUACUGGGCGUAAAGGGCGCGUAGGCGGCGCGGUAAGUCACUUGUGAAAUCUCUGAGCUUAACUCAGAACGGCCAAGUGAUACUGCAGUGCUAGAGUGCAGAAGGGGCAAUCGGAAUUCUUGGUGUAGCGGUGAAAUGCGUAGAUAUCAAGAGGAACACCUGAGGUGAAGACGGGUUGCUAGGCUGACACUGACGCUGAGGCGCGAAAGCCAGGGGAGCAAACGGGAUUAGAUACCCCGGUAGUCCUGGCCCUAAACGAUGAAUACUUGGUGUCUGGAGUUCUAAUACUCCGGGUGCCGUCGCUAACGUUUUUAGUAUUCCGCCUGGGGAGUACGCUCGCAAGAGUG
rnacentral:rRNA from 1 species